GUGACACGUACUGCCUAAUCUACUGUUAAUAAACUGGAGAAAUGCAGCUAAAAUGUGUGACUAAUAUGAUAUAUGAUAUGACUUGCAGGAAGAAGAUUUGACAACCAUUCAUGGUCACUGUGACAGCCCUUUCAAUUCUUCAGGAAAUGGACCAGAGCUCUUCUGACUCUACAGUGAUCCUUGAACUAAGUUCCGUCCCUGAAAAGGAGGACAUAAGUGUUCCUGAACUCAAGCGAGCAGAAAGUGUAUUUGUUCAUCAAAAAUGGCGAGAAAGAAGUGGAGCACAGAGGAGGUCCAGGCUGUGGAGAGCAAUCUCAUGGACAACAUCAACUCUGGCAGGGUUCCUGGCAAAGCCCAGUGUGAAGCAUCUAUCAAGGGAUCCUCAGAGGUGC